GAUCCUGGCUCAGGAUGAACGCUAGCUACAGGCUUAACACAUGCAAGUCGAGGGGCAGCGGGAUUGAAGCUUGCUUCAAUUGCCGGCGACCGGCGCACGGGUGAGUAACGCGUAUCCAACCUUCCGUACACUCAGGGAUAGCCUUUCGAAAGAAAGAUUAAUACCUGAUGGUAUCUUAAGCACACAUGUAAUUAAGAUUAAAGAUUUAUCGGUGUACGAUGGGGAUGCGUUCCGUUAGGUGGUAGG
rnacentral:rRNA from 1 species